rnacentral:lncRNA from 1 species
UGGGCGUCCACUUCGAGUUUCUCUUGAAGGUCUUCUUGAGCGCCUGAGCAAUUAACCAUCAACUAUUAUACACUAUCACUUAGAACCCCUACUUAUCAAAGAAAGUUGUACAAUCUAAAGAGAAUUCAUGAAUUGGGUCUUAAUUAUUCAUAAUCGAGGCUCAAGAGUGAAGUUUUAAACUCUAAAGAGAAAGACUAGCAUUUUUCAUGAAAUCGAGUUCAAAAUGUUCAAUCGAUAUCGAGAAAAGAAGGCAAGUUUCAAAAAUCUUAUUUUCUAAGAAUUUGACAAAUUUCAGCUUUGAGUAUCGAUUUUAGAAAAAUCAUAUCUUUCAUUAUAUAGAUCCAAAAUUGGAAAACUUAAUACCAUUGGAAACCUAUUCAAAAUUACUAAAAGUUCUUAGAAUAUACUUUUCCAUGAUUCCAAAUGGAUGACAUUUAAAAGUUGGCUCAAAGUUAUUGCUUUAGAAUACCAAGACAGUUUCAAGAUUGGUUUUUGGGCAACUUUGAAAAUUCGGUAAAAUUCACACGUUGUAAAUAAGCCUCCGAAAUUUGUAAAUCAAUUAGAGUUACAAUCAACGUUUAAAACAAAACAAGUGGAACGAGAAACGGAGUUUUGAGCAUCAAGAUAUAGUAGCUCCAAGUUGCUGAAAAAGUUAAGACUGUUGGGCUAUUUUCCAGGUUUGAAGACUAGAUUCGAAGUAUCAUUUGGUCAUCGAGUUGGCAUUGGAAAUACAUCAAACUUGGUACACUAAAUCUUCCAUGUGUGAACAAUAUUUCUACCAAGUUUCAUACAAAAACUCUCACGGUAAGGUAGUCAAUUAAACAACCAAAGUUUAUGAAGAGUUUCAAGGCUAAACUACCUUCUCACUUUUCUUUUGUUUACAAACUUUUUGUACCAUGAAAUCAGUUCCAAAUCUCUCCAUUAUUGAAACCAAGAGUUCAUAAACAUCCACUGAGCAAUUUAAAGACCAUUGACAUCCAAAUUUUCGAAAUAAAACUCCCCAAAUUAGAUUUGACCAUUUGGCUAAGAGAAAACGAAAAGUUUUCCAGAUUCGAUGAGCAAAUUUUGUGACAUCAUUUACAUAUCAAAAUGGUCUUAGAAUAUUACCAAAUUUCGUACAAUUAAACCUCCAUAUGAGGAUUACUCUUCUAUCAAAUUUCAUUUAAAAAUUCACAUGGGAAGGUAGUUAACUAAACCAUCAAAGUUCAAGAAAUUUCCCCAAUGUAAACUGUCUUUUAGCUCUUCUUUCCUUUUUUAAACAUUUUGUCCAAAGCAACCAAUCCAAAUCUGGUUUAUUUGUGAAACAAAGUCCAAGAAACAUCUAAUAUAAGGUUUGGUAUAUGUUGGACAUCAAAGUUUCCAAAACAACAAGUCCCAAAUCAUUGUUAGUUACAAAUCUGUCCAAGUGGAAAAUUCUAUCACUGUAGCAGUUUCGAACUUUGGCCACAACUCACUCAAUUCAACUUGGAAUUGGGCGUGGUUGAUGGCGUUGGAAAUCUCUCUCAUAAAUAUGAAUUUUAUCAGAAGAAACCAUUUUAAAUUCUAUCCACAAACAGCUCGUUUUUGAGCAUCAAGAUACAAGUCCUGUCCUGUCUCCUGGAGAGAAACGAAACAGGACAGUGAUUUUCAAUCGAAUGGUGUGAUUCACUCAAGUGGAACCAGAACGUGAAAUUGGUACCAAUAGAAAUCUGGAAAUGUCUAGUUUCCAAUGCCACAAACGGCACUUGAUUUCGACAUCGGAGCAAAGCGUUAUGGCCGAUACAAAAUGACUGCCUGGGCAAUACGGGAUUCAUUUUCCAGUUUUGCUAACUUUGGAAAUCAACUCAUUUGACCAACCAAAUCAUGUUAUUUUUCAAUGAAAUUUUGUACACAACCAAUAUAACAUGUAAAAAACGUAAUCAAACCAUUAGAACAUCAAAAUUUUGCACAUGAGUGGUCGGACAAGGCAGGGGUAAAAUCGGAAACUUUUGCUUCUUGCACCCAAUGAAGUUUCUAUUAAUUACACACCAUUAAUCCACCAUUUUGAGCACUAAACCAACAUUAAAUUCAUCAUCAAUCAUCACAUCAGCCAUCAAGACAAGGGUGGGAGUUCAUAGAGCCCACCCAUUUCAUUUUACACCAUAAACAAGCUACCCAAAUGCAAAUACUACCUUAUACAUGUAAGAUGAUCUUCAUAAAGCAAGAUUUAAGUGUUGGAUUAACACCUACUUGAUUAGAUGAUGAAGGCAGAAAUUUUGGCCACUCUUUGCUCCAGAAAACCGUGGCUUUUCAGCUCUCUUUUGCAGCUCAAAAUACUCCUCAAGUGUUAAGCUAAGGGUGGUUUAAGUUUGGUGUGAAUCGGAUGAAGAUUGAGUAGGAUUUGGUGAAGUAAACU